GGGCCUAUUAUGGAUCACAACUCAACUUAGUUGAGUUGUAAUCAAGACAACUCAAUUUGAAGACAACUGCAAAAAAAAAUCGUAUUAUGGGAGACAACUUUUUUCAGUUGAGUUGACCAAAUAUGUUGCCUACUUUUAUGUGCUUGUUUCGUGUCAAAAUCAGCUGUGUAAAGUAAAAUACGUAGGAAAUUCAAAAUUUUGAAUUCAGUGCAAAAUUUUAUAAAAAAGACAAAAUAAUAGGAAAUGGAGAGUUCUAUUGAUUUGUUUCUUAGAAAUUCGGAAGAAGAAAAUGCUCUAAAUGUUGCGCUGAUGAGAAAAAAUAUUCGAGAUCACUCCAAUCCAUUGGAACUUCCAAACAAAAAAUUUAUAAGUUAUUUUAGACUCAACAAAGACGCAUUUUUUUAUGUGCUAAAUGAAAUCAAAGAUCAUUUGAAACAACCACAGCGUUCCUCCGCAAUCCCACCAAUUCUCAAACUCUGCACUGCCCUACGUUUCACGGCAGAAGGAAGUUACCAAAAGUGCAGUGGUAAUGAUUUUAAUUUAGGCCUUGCUCAGCCAACAGUUUCGGUAGUGUUAAAAAAGU